rnacentral:rRNA from 1 species
UACAGAGGGGGCAAGCGUUGUUCGGAAUUACUGGGCGUAAAGGGCGCGUAGGCGGCGUGGUAAGUCACUUGUGAAAUCUCCGGGCUUAACUCGGAACGGUCAAGUGAUACUGCUGUGCUAGAGUGCGGAAGGGGCAACUGGAAUUCUCGGUGUAGCGGUGAAAUGCGUAGAUAUCGAGAGGAACACCUGCGGCGAAGGCGGGUUGCUGGGCCGACACUGACGCUGAGGCGCGAAAGCUAGGGGAGCGAACGGG